UCCAAAGCCCACCACGAACCCCACACCAGUAUUGAAUGAUUCCAUAACCUAUGGAAGCCACCAUGCUAGAACUAGUAACAAGAAUUUGAAAUUCUCCAAAAUGCAAACAUAAGCCAAAAUGGACAACCCAUUGGCACUUAACGACACUGAACCCACUAUAGCAACACAACUAGAAAACCCUAUUAUAAGCCCCGUUAACCUAACACAAGAGCAUUGCCGGGAAAGAUUAAAAGGAAGAGAAGGAACUCGGCAAAUUUCAACCCCGCCUGUUUACCAAAAACAUCGCCUCUCGCAAAAUAUAAGAGGUCCAGCCUGCCCAGUGACUUGUUUAACGGCCGCGUGACUUUAAGCGCGCGAAGGUAGCAUAAUCACUUGUUCUCUAAAUAAGGACUCGUAUCAACGGCACCACGAGGGUUGUACUGUCUCCUCUCCCCAAUCAGUGAAACUAAUCCCCCUGUGAAAAAGCAGGGAUAAGACUAUAAGACGAGAAGACCCCAUGGAGCUUAAAACCAACAACAACUUUUCCCAUACAAAGCCAUAAAGCCUUAAGCCCUGUUCGCCGGUUUUGGGUUGGGGUGACCGCGGAGCAAAACAAAACCUCCACAGCAAAAGACACUAAGCCCUUAUCCAAGAACAACAGUUCUAAGAAUCAAUAACCUGAUGCCUAACGACCCGACCAUCGAUCAAUGAACCAAGUUACCCUGGGGAUAACAGCGCAAUCCACUCCAAGAGCCCGUAUCGACAAGUGGGUUUACGACCUCGAUGUUGGAUCAGGAUACCCCCGGCGGUGCAGCGCUGCCAAAGG
rnacentral:rRNA from 1 species